rnacentral:misc_RNA from 1 species
UCUCCGUUGGUGAACCAGCGGAGGGAUCAUUACCGAGUGUAAAAACUCCCAAACCAUUGUGAACCUACCACUGUUGCUUCGGCGGCCUCGCCCCGGGCGCGUUCGCGCGGCCCGGACCCAGGCGUCCGCCGGAGGCUCCAAACCCUGAAUUUUAGUGUAUCUCUGAGUACAAAAACGAAAUAAUUAAAACUUUCAACAACGGAUCUCUUGGUUCUG